AAUAAAUCACCAGCAAUAUAUCUUCACUGGCCUGCAUCCAGCACUUUAUUGGAAUUACAUCUUUCCAGAAGCCCUCAGCUGAACUUCUGACCAGAGAAAACAGCAGCUACAUAACAGCCCACAACUGGGAUGCAGAGAGAUGGGGAGAGGAAGUAACUCCUGAAAUGCUGGCCACAGAACUGGAAACCAGACUGCAAUUUUCCUGACUCUACUCUAGCACAUCCCCAUUAGAAGAAAGAAUUAAAUCAGCAAUGAAAGAAAGAGGUGGAGAAAGGCAUCAGAAAAUCACAAGAAAAAGAAAAAAACAUGAUACAAAUAUGAAACCAUAUAAGGUGUGAAACCAGAAUUAACAGAAAAAGAGGAUAUGAAAAGCAGAAAAUGCAUAGAAAGGAAAAUAUUAAAUAAUUAUAUAGACAACAUUAAAAUUUGAAAAUUAUACAGAAUUUUGUUUUACUUUAAUAACAGAAAAGUGAGAUGAGUUUAGGUCUACUCUGAGCUAUUUUAAACCAAUAUUGUUUUGGAGACGAUUGUUCAGCUUAAGAGUUCUGUUUGAAUAUAUAUAAGGCUAUGGAUUAUAUAACAUGCAGACUAAAAAAGAAAAAGCACUCAGUGGCAAAUACUGAUUUCAAUAAAAUAGCAUGUGGGAAGGACACAUUUUUCAGGAAAUACCAUUUUCAAUACCAUAAAGGAGCUCAAUCCCAACAAAUGUCAAUUGAAGAUAUUACAGCAGUGCCAUGCAGACAGGAACUCUAUAUAAAGUACACAUUUUACAUCACUCUAUGAUUGUUAAACAAUUUCACAUUGCUUUUCAUAUCUUACAUGUUAAAACUGAAGCUAAUUAAACUAUGAAGACUUGUUAGAAAUACAUACAAUGCACAUUAAAUUAUACAUUUUAAUGCUUUCA